rnacentral:tRNA from 1 species
GGAGCCGUGGCUCAAUGGUAGAGCGUUCUACUCAAAUACCAAAGGUCGCGGGUUCGAAUCCCGGGUGCUCCA